rnacentral:rRNA from 1 species
AAUCCAUAGGUUAAUGAGGCGAACCGGGGGAACUGAAACAUCUAAGUACCCCGAGGAAAAGAAAUCAACCGAGAUUCCCCCAGUAGCGGCGAGCGAACGGGGAGGAGCCCAGAGCCUGAAUCAGCAUGUGUGUUAGUGGAAGCGUCUGGAAAGGCGCGCGAUACAGGGUGACAGCCCCGUACACAAAAGCGCAUGUGCUGUGAGCUCGAUGAGUAGGGCGGGACACGUGGUAUCCUGUCUGAAUAUGGGGGGACCAUCCUCCAAGGCUAAAUACUCCUGACUGACCGAUAGUGAACCAGUACCGUGAGGGAAAGGCGAAAAGAACCCCGGCGAGGGGAGUGAAAAAGAACCUGAAACCGUGUACGUACAAGCAGUGGGAGCCCCACCACCAAAGCAUUUGCUGUACC